GACGUAGGGCGCGAGCGUUGUCCGGAUUUAUUGGGCGUAAAGAGCUCGUAGGCGGCUUGUUGCGUCGACCGUGAAAACCCGGGGCUCAACUUCGGGCUUGCGGUCGAUACGGGCGGGCUAGAGUUCGGUAGGGGAGAUCGGAAUUCCUGGUGUAGAGGUGAAAUGCGCAGAUAUCAGGAGGAACACCGGUGGCGAAGGCGGAUCUCUGGGCCAUUACUGACGCUGAGGAGCGAAAGCGUGGGGAGCGAACAGG
rnacentral:rRNA from 1 species